ensembl:lncRNA
AUGACAACCGUGAACAUUUACACGUGUCUCAGCUCCACCUUAAAAGCUCUCCACUUCUAUCUGGUCUGGCCAACGCUACAGAAACCAUGGGAGGGACAAUGGCCAUUCAGAAACCAGAGGGAGAGGAAGGCCAGCGGGAGGCUCUGCCUCGGUCUCAUGUUAUUCAAGACCAGUCGGAGGCAAAGGAUGAAUGACUUUUGGACAUUAUACCAUUUACAGAUGGAAAGCAGCCUGCCCCUCUGGGCCUCAUUUUCUUCAUCUGUUAAAGGAAGAUGAACCAGCUCGUUAAUCUCUAAGUUCUCUUCCAGCUGUAACUGGAUUGGUUUUUUGUUGUUGCUGUUGUUGUUUUGAGAAUUCUUACCAGGCAAAGCGCUGGCUCUACCUUGGCAUCUAGAGUUCCAUUGAUCCAUUUUGAUUUCAAAGGCACUCUAGCACCCCCUACUGCACAAACAAGGGAAAUGUUUCUAUAGAAGACCAUUGCAGCAGGCGGCAUGGAUAGAGGAACCCCACACACCUGCUCUGUAAGGCAAGGGAACGUUAUACCUUUUAGAGAUGAUUAAUCAUAUUUUUAUGAUUUUAGCUGAUGGUGUCCUUUGAAGACACAUGUAUAGAACUGUAGCAUUAUCAUUCUGUGUUAUAUUACUCUGUUGUAUUGACAAUUGCCACUAAGAGUUAAAUUUUAAUAUAAACUAUAUUUUUUUAACUUAAUGAUUUAUUUAUUAUAUAUUUGGUUUGGAACCUUUGUGUGAAUGGCUUCUUAUUUAAGACUGGAGUACAUUAAAUACUACCCAGCCAGGACCAACAUCUUGUCUUAAGCCUAAAUUCUUGACUUUCAUUCUUUGGGGUGGGGACUGCUUCCUGCACAGUAUAUCAUGAUUCUUCCAUGUAUACUUACCCUGAGCCAUUCCUGUCCACAUCUUUCCAUAAGUUGUCCAAAAAGAACCAAGCAGAUGCAUUUUAAGUCACUCUCUGCAUCGUUUAACAUCUUAGGGUACCAAGAGGCAGCACUGAGGAUGCUGCUAUAUUGUCCCUCGUGUCCCAUCUCUCUCUGUUCAUGUUUGUCUGGUGUCAUGCUUGCUAUGUCAUAGACUGCAUGCAAGUCAUAAGAUGUGACCCAUUUAUAUUCACUCUACAUCCUUCCUUUGUCUUUGGGUCAUUUACCUUCCCUAGCUACUUUUUCCAGUACUGGCUACACCUUCAGUCAUUCUCCUUGGCUCACUAGUUGAGGUGAUGGAGUUAGAAUAUUCCUUGCUCCCCACUGACACUUGCAGAUUCUUCCCCCACCAUGACUCAGUAACUUCUCCUUCUUUGACGUCCAUACAAUACACAUUUACCACCUAAUCAAAAUCCUGGUUGCUGUUGUCUACAGACCUCCAGGAUAUUCCCCUUCUCUCCUCUAUGAGUUCUUUACCUGGCUCACCUUUCUCUCCUCUACUCCCUCCCAAAUACCCUAACGUCCCAAUUCCUCAACUUUCUCAUUUCCCAUGACCCAUUCCUCCACCCCACCUCAAGCACAUACAGAGAUGGUCAUACCUUUGAUCUUGCAAUCACCUAUAAAUAAACCACUUCCAUGUUCACGAACUCUGAUAUCC